CCUACGGGGUGCAGCAGUGAGGAAUAUUGGUCAAUGGGCGGGAGCCUGAACCAGCCAAGCCGCGUGAAGGAAGAAGGUACAGCGUAUCGUAAACCUCUUUUGUCAGGGAACAAAGGCGGCGACUAGUCCCCGGAUGAGGGUACCUGAAGAAAAAGCAUCGGCCAACUCCGUGCCAGCAGCCGCGGUUAUACGGAGGAUGCGAGGGUUAACCGGAUUUUUUGGGUUUUAAGGGUGAGCAGGGGGCAUGUUAAGUCAGCGGUAAAAGCACGGGGGCCAACCCCGGCGAGCCGUUGAAACGGGCGGGCUGGAGUUGGAGAGAAGUACGCGGAAUGCGCGGUGUAGCGGUGAAAUGCUUAGAUAUCGCGCAGAACCCCGAUUGCGAAGGCAGCGUACCGGCUCCACACUGACGCUGAGGCACGAAAGCGUGGGUAUCGAACAGGAUUAGAUACCCGUGUAGUC
rnacentral:rRNA from 1 species